rnacentral:rRNA from 1 species
GCAGUCGGGCGGUAACACAGAGGAGCUUGCUCCUUGGGUGACGAGCGGCGGACGGGUGAGUAAAGUCUGGGGAUCUGCCUGAUGGAGGGGGAUAACUACUGGAAACGGUAGCUAAUACCGCAUGACGUCUUCGGACCAAAGUGGGGGACCUUCGGGCCUCACGCCAUGAGAUGAACCCAGAUGGGAUUAGCUGGUAGGUGAGGUAACGGCUCACCUAGGCGACGAUCCCUAGCUGGUCUGAGAGGAUGACCAGCCACACUGGAACUGAGACACGGUCCAGACUCCUACGGGAGGCAGCAGUGGGGAAUAUUGCACAAUGGGGGAAACCCUGAUGCAGCCAUGCCGCGUGUGUGAAGAAGGCCUUCGGGUUGUAAAGCACUUUCAGCGGGGAGGAAGGCAAUAAACUUAAUAAGUUUGUUGAUUGACGUUACCCGCAGAAGAAGCACCGGCUAACUCCGUGCCAGCAGCCGCGGUAAUACGGAGGGUGCAAGCGUUAAUCGGAAUGACUGGGCGUAAAGCGCACGCAGGCGGUCUGUUAAGUUGGAUGUGAAAUCCCCGGGCUCAACCCGGGAACAGCAUUCAAAACUGACAGGCUAGAGUCUCGUAGAGGGGGGUAGAAUUCCAGGUGUAGCGGUGAAAUGCGUAGAGAUCUGGAGGAAUACCGGUGGCGAAGGCGGCCCCCUGGACGAAGACUGACGCUCAGGUGCGAAAGCGUGGGGAGCAAACAGGAUUAGAUACCCUGGUAGUCCACGCCGUAAACGAUGUCGACUUGGAGGCUGUGGUCUUGAACCGUGGCUUCCGGAGCUAACGCGUUAAGUCGACCGCCUGGGGAGUACGGCCGCAAGGUUAAAACUCAAAUGAAUUGACGGGGGCCCGCACAAGCGGUGGAGCAUGUGGUUUAAUUCGAUGCAACGCGAAGAACCUUACCUACUCUUGACAUCCAGAGAAGACUGUAGAGAUACGGUUGUGCCUUCGGGAGCUCUGAGACAGGUGCUGCAUGGCUGUCGUCAGCUCGUGUUGUGAAAUGUUGGGUUAAGUCCCGCAACGAGCGCAACCCUUAUCCUUUGUUGCCAGCGAUACGGUCGGGAACUCAAAGGAGACUGCCGGUGAUAAACCGGAGGAAGGUGGGGAUGACGUCAAGUCAUCAUGGCCCUUACGAGUAGGGCUACACACGUGCUACAAUGGCGCAUACAAAGAGAAGCGAGCCUGCGAGGGUGAGCGGACCUCAUAAAGUGCGUCGUAGUCCGGAUUGGAGUCUGCAACUCGACUCCAUGAAGUCGGAAUCGCUAGUAAUCGUAGAUCAGAAUGCUACGGUGAAUACGUUCCCGGGCCUUGUACACACCGCCCGUCACACCAUGGGAGUGGGUUGCAAAAGAAGUAGGUAGC